AGUGAUAUCUUCCAUCCCUCCCACAUUUUUCACCUCAAUCUAAAGGAUCUCUCAUAUUUUGGCAUUUGUGAAUAUUCAAAUCUGAUAAACUACCACGUACCCCAAACAAGAGCAUUAAGGUCACAUUUAAAUCACUAUCACCUAACAGUCUAACACAGUAAUAAAUUCUUUCCGUUUCACAAAAGGUUGAUAAAUCUUUUAAACAAACAGAUCCAUUAAUUUCUAUCUCACUUAGAAGAGUAGAUGCCUAAAACGAAUGAUACAAUGAGUACCAUCAAAACAUGAAUACCAUAAAAA
rnacentral:sRNA from 1 species